rnacentral:rRNA from 1 species
CGAAAACGAAUUCUCUCUUGAGUGGAUCCUGAGUACGACGGAGCACGUGAAAUUCCGUCGGAAUCUGGGAGGACCAUCUCCUAAGGCUAAAUACUCUCUAGUGACCGAUAGUGAACCAGUACCGUGAGGGAAAGGUGAAAAGUACCCCGGAAGGGGAGUGAAAGAGAACUUGAAACCGUGUGCUUACAAGUAGUCAGAGCCCGUUAAUGGGUGAUGGCGUGCCUUUUGUAGAAUGAACCGGCGAGUUACGAUCUGAUGCAAGGUUAAGCAGAAAAUGUGGAGCCGUAGCGAAAGCGAGUCUGAAUAGGGCGAAUGAGUAUUUGGUCGUAGACCCGAAACCAGGUGAUCUACCCUUGGUCAGGUUGAAGUUCAGGUAACACUGAAUGGAGGACCGAACCGACUUACGUUGAAAAGUGAGCGGAUGAACUGAGGGUAGCGGAGAAAUUCCAAUCGAACUUGGAGAUAGCUGGUUCUCUCCGAAAUAGCUUUAGGGCUAGCCUCAAGUGAUGAUUAUUGGAGGUAGAGCACUGUUUGGACGAGGGGCCCCUCUCGGGUUACCGAAUUCAGACAAACUCCGAAUGCCAAAUAAUUUAACUUGGGAGUCAGAAUGUGGGUGAUAAGGUCCAUAUUCGAAAGGGAAACAGCCCAGACCACCAGCUAAGGUCCCAAAAUAUAUGUUAAGUGGAAAAGGAUGUGGCGUUGCCCAGACAACUAGGAUGUUGGCUUAGAAGCAGCCAUCAUUUAAAGAGUGCGUAAUAGCUCACUAGUCGAGUGACACUGCGCCGAAAAUGUACCGGGGCUAAACAUAUUACCGAAGCUGUGGAUUGUCCUUUGGACAAUGGUAGGAGAGCGUUCUAAGGGCGUUGAAGCA